rnacentral:rRNA from 1 species
CCUACGGGGGGCUGCAGUGGGGAAUAUUGGACAAUGGGCGAAAGCCUGAUCCAGCCAUGCCGCGUGUGUAAAGAAGGCCUUCGGGUUGUAAAGCACUUUUAGUGGGGAAGAAAGCCUUGGGGCUAAUACCCUCGAGGAAGGACAUCACCCACAGAAGAAGCACCGGCUAACUCCGUGCCAGCAGCCGCGGUAAUACGGAGGGUGCGAGCGUUAAUCGGAAUUACUGGGCGUAAAGCGCGCGUAGGCGGUCUGAUAAGCCGGUUGUGAAAGCCCCGGGCUCAACCUGGGAACGGCAUCCGGAACUGUCAGGCUAGAGUGCAGGAGAGGAAGGUAGAAUUCCCGGUGUAGCGGUGAAAUGCGUAGAGAUCGGGAGGAAUACCAGUGGCGAAGGCGGCCUUCUGGACUGACACUGACGCUGAGGUGCGAAAGCGUGGGUAGCAAACAGGAUUAGAUACCCUGGUAGUC